CCUACGGGUGGCAGCAGUGGAGAAUAUUGCACAAUGGGCGCAAGCCUGAUGCAGCGACGCCGCGUGCGGGAUGGAGGCCUUCUGGUUGUAAACCGCUUUUGUUCAAGGACCAGGCCCGGUCUUUGGCCGUGUUGCGUGUAUUGUUCGAAUAAGCACCGGCUAACUACGUGCCAGCAGCCGCGGUAAUACUUAGGGUGCAAACGUUAUCCGGAGUUAUUGGGCGUAAAGGGCUCGUAGGCGGUUCGUCGCGUACGGGGUGAAAGUCCAUCGCUUAACGGUGGAUCCGCGCCGGGUACGGGCGGGCUUGAGUGCGGGAGGGGAGACUGGAAUUCCCGGUGUAACGGUGGAAUGUGUAGAUAUCGGGAAGAACACCAAUGGCGAAGGCAGGUCUCUGGGCCGUGACUGACGCUGAGGAGCGAAAGCGUGGGGAGCGAACAGGAUUAGAUACCCUUGUAGUC
rnacentral:rRNA from 1 species